rnacentral:lncRNA from 1 species
GGGCGCGGUGGCGCGUGCCUGUAGUCCCAGCUACUCGGGAGGCUGAGGUGGGAGGAUCGCUUGAGCCCAGGAGUUCUGGGCUGUAGUGCGCUAUGCCGAUCGGGUGUCCGCACUAAGUUCGGCAUCAAUAUGGUGACCUCCCGGGAGCGGGGGACCACCAGGUUGCCUAAGGAGGGCGCCGGGCGCGGUGGCGCGUGCCUGUAGUCCCAGCUACUCGGGAGGCUGAGGCUGGAGGAUCCCUUGAGUUCAGGAGUUCUGGGCUGUAGUGCGCUAUGCCGAUCGGGUGUCCGCACUGAGUUCGGCAUCAAUAUGGUGACCUCCCGGGAGCGGGGGACCACCAGGUUGCCUAAGGAGGGGUGAACCGGCCCAGGUCGGAAACGGAGCAGGUCAAAACUCCCGUGCUGAUCAGUAGUGGGAUUGCGCCUGUGAAUAGCCACUGCACUCCAGCCUGGGCAACA